rnacentral:misc_RNA from 1 species
GUAGGUGAACCUGCGGAGGGAUCAUUACCGAGCGAGGGCGCCCCGCGCCCGACCUCCCAACCCUCUGUUAACCGUACCGCGUUGCCUCGGGGUGGCCCUCACCGGCGCCCCAGAGGACGUCCAUCAAAACCCUGCGUCUUUGCGUCGGAGUAUUAGUUUGAAUCAAUCAAAACUUUCAACAACGGAUCUCUUGGUUCUGGCAUCGAUGAAGAACGCAGCAUCUGACUGACUUGGGAUGCAUGCAUCUCGU